GGACGUUUAGCUCAGUGGUAGAGCGCUUCGUUCACAUCGAAGAGGUCACAGGUUCGAUCCCUGUAACGUCCA
rnacentral:tRNA from 1 species